UGGAAAAUAAAGUGAUCCUUCUAC
rnacentral:piRNA from 1 species